rnacentral:rRNA from 1 species
CAAGCUAACGUCAAUUUACCGGGCUAUUCACCCGAUAAACUUCCUCACUUGUAAAAGUGCUUUACAACCCUCAGGCCUUCUUCACACACGUGGUAUUGCUGGAUCAGGCUUGCGCCCAUUGUCCAAUAUUCCC